rnacentral:rRNA from 1 species
UGAGGAAUAUUGGACAAUGGAUGGAAAUCUGAUCCAGCCAUGCCGCGUGCAGGAAGACGGUCCUAUGGAUUGUAAACUGCUUUAGCAUGGGAGCAAUAAGGUGUACGCGUACACCGAUGAGAGUACCAUGAGAAUAAGCACCGGCUAACUCCGUGCCAGCAGCCGCGGUAAUACGGGGGAUGCGAGCGUUAUCCGGAUUCAUUGGGUUUAAAGGGUGCGUAGGCGGCUUUGCAAGUCAGCGGUGAAAGGCCCGGGCUCAACCCGGAAAGUGCCGUUGAUACUGUGAGGCUGGAGUGCGGAUGCUGUGGGAGGGAAUGAGUGGUGUAGCGGUGAAAUGCAUAGAUAUCACUCAGAACACCGAUUGCGAAGGCAUCUCACAAAUCCGCAAUUGACGCUGAGGCACGAAAGCG